GGGUUGUGAGGUUAAGCGACUAAGCGUACACGGUGGAUGCCCUGGCAGUCAGAGGCGAUGAAGGACGUGCUAAUCUGCGAUAAGCGUCGGUGAGGUGAUAUGAACCGUUAUAACCGGCGAUUUCCGAAUGGGGAAACCCAGUGUGUUUCGACACACUAUCAUUAACUGAAUCCAUAGGUUAAUGAGGCGAACCGGGGGAACUGAAACAUCUAAGUACCCCGAGGAAAAGAAAUCAACCGAGAUUCCCCCAGUAGCGGCGAGCGAACGGGGAGGAGCCCAGAGCCUGAAUCAGUGUGUGUGUUAGUGGAAGCGUCUGGAAAGGCGUGCGAUACAGGGUGACAGCCCCGUACACAAAAAUGCACAUAUUGUGAGCUCGAUGAGUAGGGCGGGACACGUGGUAUCCUGUCUGAAUAUGGGGGGACCAUCCUCCAAGGCUAAAUACUCCUGACUGACCGAUAGUGAACCAGUACCGUGAGGGAAAGGCGAAAAGAACCCCGGCGAGGGGAGUGAAAAAGAACCUGAAACCGUGUACGUACAAGCAGUGGGAGCCUCUUAAUGGGGUGACUGCGUACCUUUUGUAUAAUGGGUCAGCGACUUAUAUUCUGUAGCAAGGUUAACCGAAUAGGGGAGCCGAAGGGAAACCGAGUCUUAACUGGGCGUUAAGUUGCAGGGUAUAGACCCGAAACCCGGUGAUCUAGCCAUGGGCAGGUUGAAGGUUGGGUAACACUAACUGGAGGACCGAACCGACUAAUGUUGAAAAAUUAGCGGAUGACUUGUGGCUGGGGGUGAAAGGCCAAUCAAACCGGGAGAUAGCUGGUUCUCCCCGAAAGCUAUUUAGGUAGCGCCUCGUGAAUUCAUCUCCGGGGGUAGAGCACUGUUUCGGCAAGGGGGUCAUCCCGACUUACCAACCCGAUGCAAACUGCGAAUACCGGAGAAUGUUAUCACGGGAGACACACGGCGGGUGCUAACGUCCGUCGUGAAGAGGGAAACAACCCAGACCGCCAGCUAAGGUCCCAAAGUCAUGGUUAAGUGGGAAACGAUGUGGGAAGGCCCAGACAGCCAGGAUGUUGGCUUAGAAGCAGCCAUCAUUUAAAGAAAGCGUAAUAGCUCACUGGUCGAGUCGGCCUGCGCGGAAGAUGUAACGGGGCUAAACCAUGCACCGAAGCUGCGGCAGCGACACUAUGUGUUGUUGGGUAGGGGAGCGUUCUGUAAGCCUGUGAAGGUGGCCUGUGAGGGUUGCUGGAGGUAUCAGAAGUGCGAAUGCUGACAUAAGUAACGAUAAAGCGGGUGAAAAGCCCGCUCGCCGGAAGACCAAGGGUUCCUGUCCAACGUUAAUCGGGGCAGGGUGAGUCGACCCCUAAGGCGAGGCCGAAAGGCGUAGUCGAUGGGAAACAGGUUAAUAUUCCUGUACUUGGUGUUACUGCGAAGGGGGGACGGAGAAGGCUAUGUUGGCCGGGCGACGGUUGUCCCGGUUUAAGCGUGUAGGCUGGUUUUCCAGGCAAAUCCGGAAAACCAAGGCUGAGGCGUGAUGACGAGGCACUACGGUGCUGAAGCGACAAAUGCCCUGCUUCCAGGAAAAGCCUCUAAGCAUCAGGUAACAUCAAAUCGUACCCCAAACCGACACAGGUGGUCAGGUAGAGAAUACCAAGGCGCUUGAGAGAACUCGGGUGAAGGAACUAGGCAAAAUGGUGCCGUAACUUCGGGAGAAGGCACGCUGAUAUGUAGGUGAAGCGACUUGCUCGUGGAGCUGAAAUCAGUCGAAGAUACCAGCUGGCUGCAACUGUUUAUUAAAAACACAGCACUGUGCAAACACGAAAGUGGACGUAUACGGUGUGACGCCUGCCCGGUGCCGGAAGGUUAAUUGAUGGGGUUAGCGGUAACGCGAAGCUCUUGAUCGAAGCCCCGGUAAACGGCGGCCGUAACUAUAACGGUCCUAAGGUAGCGAAAUUCCUUGUCGGGUAAGUUCCGACCUGCACGAAUGGCGUAAUGAUGGCCAGGCUGUCUCCACCCGAGACUCAGUGAAAUUGAACUCGCUGUGAAGAUGCAGUGUACCCGCGGCAAGACGGAAAGACCCCGUGAACCUUUACUAUAGCUUGACACUGAACAUUGAGCCUUGAUGUGUAGGAUAGGUGGGAGGCUUUGAAGUGUGGACGCCAGUCUGCAUGGAGCCGACCUUGAAAUACCACCCUUUAAUGUUUGAUGUUCUAACGUUGGCCCGUAAUCCGGGUUGCGGACAGUGUCUGGUGGGUAGUUUGACUGGGGCGGUCUCCUCCUAAAGAGUAACGGAGGAGCACGAAGGUUGGCUAAUCCUGGUCGGACAUCAGGAGGUUAGUGCAAUGGCAUAAGCCAGCUUGACUGCGAGCGUGACGGCGCGAGCAGGUGCGAAAGCAGGUCAUAGUGAUCCGGUGGUUCUGAAUGGAAGGGCCAUCGCUCAACGGAUAAAAGGUACUCCGGGGAUAACAGGCUGAUACCGCCCAAGAGUUCAUAUCGACGGCGGUGUUUGGCACCUCGAUGUCGGCUCAUCACAUCCUGGGGCUGAAGUAGGUCCCAAGGGUAUGGCUGUUCGCCAUUUAAAGUGGUACGCGAGCUGGGUUUAGAACGUCGUGAGACAGUUCGGUCCCUAUCUGCCGUGGGCGCUGGAGAACUGAGGGGGGCUGCUCCUAGUACGAGAGGACCGGAGUGGACGCAUCACUGGUGUUCGGGUUGUCAUGCCAAUGGCACUGCCCGGUAGCUAAAUGCGGAAGAGAUAAGUGCUGAAAGCAUCUAAGCACGAAACUUGCCCCGAGAUGAGUUCUCCCUGACUCCUUGAG
rnacentral:rRNA from 1 species